UCCUCCUCUCUCUCUCUCUCUCUCACUCCUCUCUGGACUCUGUGCAAGGCCGGCCGGCGGUGGGGAGGAGGUCGCCGGCGCAAGGAGGUCCGACGGCUGGCCGGCGACACGGCGAUGGAGGCAUGGGAGAAAGGAAGGGCGGCGACAGGGCGAGGCGGUG
rnacentral:sRNA from 1 species